GGGGUGACUUGUGACAGAGGGAGGGGUGACUAGGGACAGAGUGAGGGAGGUGGUGAUUAGUGACAGAGGGAGGAAUGAGGUGACUAUCACUGUGUCACCCCCUUCCUCACUCUGUCACUAGGCACCCACUCCCUCCCUCACUCGGUCACUAGUCACCCCCUCUCUCACUCUGCCACUAGUCAUCCCUUCCCUCACUCUGUCACCAGUCAUCCCC